UGGGGAAUAUUGCGCAAUGGGCGGAAGCCUGACGUAGCGACGCCGCGUGGGGGAUGACAGCCUUCGGGUUGUAAACCUCUUUCAGCAGGGACGAAGGUGACGUGUACCUGUAGAAGAAGCGCCGGCUAACUACGUGCCAGCAGCCGCGGUAAUACGUAGGGCGCGAGCGUUGUCCGGAAUUAUUGGGCGUAAAGAGCUCGUAGGUGGCUUGUCGCGUCUGCCGUGAAAGCCCAUGGCUUAACUGUGGGUCUGCGGUGGAUACGGGCUGGCUGGAGGCAGGUAGGGGAGAACGGAAUUCCUGGUGUAGCGGUGAAAUGCGCAGAUAUCAGGAGGAACACCGGUGGCGAAGGCGGUUCUCUGGGCCUUGCCUGACGCUGAGGAGCGAAAGCGUGGGGAGCGAACAGGAUUAGAUACCCUGGUAGUCCAUGCUGUAAACGUUGGGCGCUAGGUGUGGGGUCCUUCCACGGAUUCUGUGCCGUAGCUAACGCAUUAAGCCG
rnacentral:rRNA from 1 species